rnacentral:rRNA from 1 species
UACAGAGGGGGCAAGCGUUGUUCGGAAUUACUGGGCGUAAAGGGCGCGUAGGCGGCCUUCUAAGUCGAACGUGAAAUCCCUGGGCUCAACCCAGGAACUGCGUCCGAUACUGGAAGGCUUGAAUCCGGGAGAGGGAUGCGGAAUUCCAGGUGUAGCGGUGAAAUGCGUAGAUAUCUGGAGGAAUACCGGUGGCGAAGGCGGCAUCCUGGACCGACAUUGACGCUGAACGGCGAAAGCUAGGGGAGCAAACGGG